AAUCCCGGUGCCUAGCCCCUCUCUUCGCUUUCUCGCAUGUCCUCCAGUUUGGAUUUGACGCCGCCACCGCCGCCUGGCGGCUGGCGCCACGAUGACCCCCUGCCGCUCGGCACUCCCGGCGCCCGCUUCCCUUCACCCCUCUUGGCGGCGGGCGGAGGGCAGGGUGGCGCCGCGGGAACCUGCGCUCGCGCUGCUGCUUAUGCGAGCUUGGUUGGUUCCGGUGGCUCUCGUGGAUACGUGGGUGGCCUGUGGUGGCUUUUCUGCUUGCUUAAAUCUGCCAAUCCGAUGGGGUACGAAGAGAGCAAAAAUCAUCUCCUCAGUCUCAGUUACCCUGAGCUGCAAUGUUUGUGCAAAAAGUAUAACCUUCCUGCUAAGAAGACCCACUCUCAGUUAGCAAGUUUGCUCGCUUCGCUGCUUGAGGCAUCUCCAUCUCCUACUGCCCCUCCUGUCCAAUUAGCAAAUAUGAAAGAAGCAUCCACAUGCAACCUUGUUAACAACAAAAGAGGCCCAUACAGUGGCAGGGAUGAUGACAUACCACUUGUGCACACAAAGCAUCAAAAAGGAUAUCAAACAACUGUUGAUGAAACAUCUAAAAAGCAGGAGAUUGGCACUGGUAUGAGUAUAACUCCAGUUUCUAUGAACCAUGGAAGACCAGACUGUCAUGGCCAUCCAUCUUCUGACCUGGGGACUGCUCAUAAUUUGCAGUCCCGAAGUGAUGUGGGUAUUGCAACUAAGACAACAAAUCUAGAAUUUGUUGGCAAACAUCAUUGUUCACCUGCUAACAUAAUUGAUCAAAUCUGUCCCCCUAUUAUUCAAAAAUAUCCUUCUAAUGGUAAUGGUCAGGCUUCCACUCCAUUUGGCCAUAUGAAUGAUAGCACAGAUAAGGAUUGUCGGCUGUCUGAUAAGAUAUCAGCAAAUGCUACUCCCAUUCAAUUUUCUGUAAUGUCAGAUGAGGGCAUUGAUCUUGUUGUUGAUCUGAACUCCAGUCCAGCAACAUGGGCCAAGAACUUCAUGGCUGAAAUGCGUGUUACCCCUCCGUCUGAACAUGGGAAUUUCUCUAGCUUCAUUAGCAGUUUGGCAACUAAGGAUGAUCAUAGCACUGCCUCACCAUCUGGAAAUAUCAUUGUUGACAUUCAGAACAAGGGGGCUGAGAACAUCGUUCCUUCCACUGAUUCAUCACUUGCUUCAGAUGUUGGUGAGAACUCCCGUUCAGUGCUCUAUCCAGUUGACACUACUGCUGUGAACUCGGUGUCAUCCACGUCUACAGUGGCUGGUACCCCAGUUGAACUUUCUGGGUAUCAGGAGGGUGCUCCAGUGGUAUCUUCUUCAUGUUUAACAGCUGAUGUCCAGAACAAUGUGACAUCUGAUAUGCCAGGUGCUUUGGAUAGCGAGGUGCUUCCUCCAGAACCUGCUGAUGUCUUUAUGCAGUCUGAAAGAAUCACUGCACUGGCAGUUUGUGCUUCAGUGCAACCAAUUGGCAAUAAAUGCACAAUGGGUCCCGGGGAUGGGGUUAGAAGUGACUCCAAUGAAGACUCCUGUCCAAAAUCUUCAGGAAAACAAACUGGAGAUGUUCCCGCAAGAGAUCAGCCUGCUCACAAUGGUGGCACUCAUGAAACCCUAAUGGAAAAUGAACCUGUGAAGGCAGUGGCAGUGGAAGAAAAUAUAGGUCGUGAUGACAGUUUGUCCAUUUCUUUUCAACUAGCCAGUAAGACAGUAGCAAAACUGCCAGUUACAGAUGCCCAGUCGCCUUCUAGUUCUGCUGGUCAUUUUAUUCCUGGCAAUUUUGACCACACACAUCCAACAUCUUCUGCUGCUUCGUAAAAGGGGGAGAGAAGGAAAGCUGGUAAAUAUAUUAUUUUGGUCCAUGGGAAAGUCUACAUGUCCCACUUUUAGCUCUGCAACUGCAAACCUGCUUAUUUGGACAAUGCUAUUAAUUCCCCGACUCCAAAGUUCGGUGCAGAGUCAGCACAAAGUCAUGAUUCUAUGGACAAAAAGGGACAGAAUGAUGCUGAGGAGCUUGAGGAGAGUAUGACACCGCCAGCCUAUAGUGAACCUCCCAGAAAUAUACAACUUAGCUUACGAAGUGCUUCCGCUAAGAUGAAGCCUUCUACAUUACCAAGACGAUCAGCAAGGCUUCUUCCUAAGUAACCGCACUAAAUGAUACAGAUGAGAUCCAGUGUGAGAAUAGCCUCACUACCGGCUUAGUCAGAUUCCAUGAGGAUGGAGUGAUAGAAAACAGUUGUUAACAAGCUUAGAUUCUAAUUUUGUCUGUUCUUGUUAAUUCUUUUUGUUCCAGCAACUGAGUAGCCCUUGGUUUCCAAAGCUUAGGCUGUCAGACUUUUUUUCCUUGUCUCCAUCAGCAUCUGUAACAGUUACACUCGUACUGUCGAGCUUUCAUACACCAUUGUACAAACGACUCAUUUUUACAGCAUCUGUGUUUCCUCUGGUCUUGUGUGAUUUA